UACAGAGGUCUCAAGCGUUGUUCGGAUUCAUUGGGCGUAAAGGGUGCGUAGGCGGCGCGGUAAGUCGGGUGUGAAAUCUCGGAGCUUAACUCCGAAACUGCAUUCGAUACUGCCGUGCUUGAGGACUGGAGAGGAGACUGGAAUUUACGGUGUAGCGGUGAAAUGCGUAGAUAUCGUAAGGAAGACCAGUGGCGAAGGCGGGUCUCCGGACAGUUCCUGACGCUGAGACACGAAGGCCAGGGGAGCAAACGGG
rnacentral:rRNA from 1 species